rnacentral:rRNA from 1 species
UACGAAGGGGGCUAGCGUUGCUCGGAAUGACUGGGCGUAAAGGGCGCGUAGGCGGAUGGCACAGUCAGAUGUGAAAUUCCCGGGCUUAACCUGGGGGCUGCAUUUGAUACGUGUUGUCUAGAGUGAGGAAGAGGGUUGUGGAAUUCCCAGUGUAGAGGUGAAAUUCGUAGAUAUUGGGAAGAACACCGGUGGCGAAGGCGGCAACCUGGUCCUUGACUGACGC